UCGUAAUACAAUGAAACGAAUAACUGAAACUGUAUACAAUUAUUUUACACAAAAUCAAUGUUUUAAAAUGCUUAUUGUACAGUAAUGUAUAGCAUCAUAACAUACGUAGAGAGUAGGACGUUUCUUGUUCAAUAAAAGCUGUUUCAUGUGUAAAAUACCCUCCAAAUUACGUUAGGUGGCGUUAUUAGGUUUCAAAUCUAAGCUCCGCCCCUCAAUUACGUUCCUGGCGCUGGUGUUGGUUAGAAUCUAACGCCGCCCCUCACUUCCGGUUCUGGCGCUGGGGUUCUGAAACUGGGGUUCUGAAACUGGCAAGUGGUGAAACUGGUGGUGCUGCGGGUCUGCGAAACCGGAAGUGUCCGACCGCACGGUCACGGAUCAGAAAUCCAAAAUGGCGGCCACGUGCAACUAGCAUAGAGGCAAUUAGCGGAGAUGCUCCACUGAUGAUUGACUGUGUUGCUACUGUUAUAUCUUUUUUGCAGAUCUCCUCCUUCAGUGAUGCUCCUCCUCCUCCAGUGAAACUCCUCCCACUGCAGUUCACCAAUAAACGCUGGAAUAUUCCCCUCAGCUACAAGUGAAGAGGAGCAUCAAACCAUCAGGAAGAGCUGACACAAACACAGAGUUUAUUGAAGGACAGUGAGAACAUGAGAUCCAGAACACUGCAGAAUGAAACAUACUGAAGAACAAAGAGGUUCCGAGUGCCUGACAACUGUGAGCUGAUAACGGGCUGCGCC